rnacentral:sRNA from 1 species
AGUUAUCUUAGAGAAAAGGUUACAUGUUUUGUAAACGGGUUCGGUUUAAAAAAAAACACAAUUCCUGACAUGACACACGAGUACAUACUGUUUAUAACAAUGCUUGCUACCCUCUGAAAAUUUAACUCGCCAUUAAAUAUCUCAUUUUUUAAAUAAUGUUUGUUACGAUUACAUAAACUGUGUGCGACAAAUAGUUUUCCUUAAACAUUUUCUUAUUUUCUUUUUCAAAACACGUUUUAUAUGCAGGCUUUCAAUCACAGCACGUUUUUAUAACAAAAUCAGAACUGAAAGUUUAGUAAUUAUAAUCGUUUGACACCAUAUCACAUAUAUUUUAAACUCGCAGCAACAACGGAAGACCUACUCGUGGCUUUGCCACGAGCUCUGCUCUAGUUUUAGGUGUAUAAUUGGGUGUAAGUUAUGUGUAUUAUUCAGUCAAUUAAGUAAAUACACUGUACAUGUAUAUCAAGGAAUUGAUUGUGUAUGUAACAUGCAAACAAUAAUUAUGCACACUUAUAUUCAUUAUCAAGUAAAUUUUUCUAUGUAUUUGAUGUAAACAAAUUGAAUAUCUAUGGUUUUAUACUUAUAUGUGAAACAAACACUGUGAAUAUGGACAUAAUAAAAAAUGCGUUUAUUC